AGAGUUUGAUCCUGGCUUAGGACGAACGCUGGCGGCGUGCCUAACACAUGCAAGUUGAGCGAAUGAAGUCCUUCGGGAAUGGAUUUAGCGGCGGACGGGUGAGUAACACGUGGGCAACCUGCCUCAUAGAGGGGAAUAGCCUUCCGAAAGGGAGAUUAAUACCGCAUAAGAUUGUAGUACCGCAUGAUACAGCAAUUAAAGGAGCAAUCCGCUAUGAGAUGAGCCCGCGGCGCAUUAGCUAGUUGGUGAGGUAACGGCUCACCAAGGCGACGAUGCGUAGCCGACCUGAGAGGGUGAUCGGCCACAUUGGGACUGAGACACGGCCCAGACUCCUACGGGAGGCAGCA
rnacentral:rRNA from 1 species